ensembl:lincRNA
CGCUGGCCUGUUUAAACCUCCGCCCAGCUCUUACCACGUCUAACACUCUUCUUGACUUUGUGGCCAGCUGCCCACUGCUUGUGCCCUGCCUCCCGGCCAUUCUUAGAAUGCAGGCGUCACGAGGGCAGUGGCCACGUCCAUGUGGAGACCACGGUCAGCUCCGCUACCCUCAGUGCUGCGUGGCAUGCAGCAGGUGCUCGAUUAAUGGUUUUGAAUGACUGAAUCUACGUCUCAGUCAUAAGGUCUUUAGAGACAAGUGAUUAUCUCUUUGACUCUCAUUCUCCAAACUUUCCCUACACCAAUAAAUUGCGUUAUAUUCUUUUGGGUGUUCAGCAAAGGUUAACUGGUCGCCUGACAAAUACAGGGCAGGCCAGGAGAAAGCAGGGAUGCUGGGAAGAGAACAACACAAUCCAUCAGGAUUAUUUUACUGUGAAGGUUAGAAAACCUCUCCCACCUGGCUUUAACUAGGACGGGAGUGGACACGUCCACAGGGAACGUCGGCUUCUGCUGAGACGGCCCAGCAGCUUGGACGAUGCCACCAGCUUUGUCCUUCCUGCGGUUGCUUUGCUCUUCGCCUCACAUGCUGCCGCCUCUCCACACACCCCUGCCAAGAAACACAUGGCUCCAGACCCCACAGCGUCCCCUGACCCUGACCGGGGACUGAGAGCUCCGGUGACUCCUCUGGGGUUUGCUUCCAGCUGGCCCAAUCACGAUCCAAUCACCGUGACAAGGAAGCGGGAUAUGCUGAUCUGCUCAAGCCAUCGGAGCCUCCUCCCGAGGGGACAACAGGUACCAGGGCCACGGCCAGGGAGGUGGCUGUGGUCGUGCUGUAUUUGUGGCCUCCCGGCAGUGCUGGAGAGACACGGAGCACGUCAGGGUCCAAGCAGAGCGGCCAGGAAGGAGGAAGGACAGUGGGACGACGUCGACCGACUGGAGAUCCCACCUGAGGAAGGGACCAGCAAACUUGGAACCCGUUUGUUACUCCCCCACAUGGCCCCUGAGAAAGGACCAAAUUCCGCGAAUAGCUCCUCCUCGCUGGCCAGGGCAGACGUGCGGGGGCGCAAGGUGGGCUGUGCCAGCAGACGGGCCCCCAAGUCUGAGGCUGCGCGGCGUCCCUGGCGGAGCCAGCUCCUCACACCGCGUAUGCACCUGCGGGGGCCCGCGCUCGGGGCCUGCCAUUCCUGAGCCAGAAGACCGUGCGCCUCCACCCCCCGGGAAGGGCGGCCCUUCACUCACAGUCCACGGACCACCGCACCCACCGCCCGCUGCCCAGAUCCGCGGGGUGCUGGGUGCGGAUCCUGGCGCCGAGGACACUGCACCCUCAAGUCCACGUGCUCCUAGUUCCAGAGGGCAAGGGGGGGACCCUGCCGGUGAGGGGUUCGUCUGCAGUUGAUCUGAAUCCAGUUGGUCCUCAGAUUCAGAGACGGGAGUGUGGAGAGGGAGAGAGCCUGGACGCUGACUGUGAGCUGUGCCCGCAGCAGAAAGACACAGUGACCUGGCGGGGCGGAGGGCGUGGGGCAAGUGGGAAUCCCCUACAUUUCUGACGCAACAUUCAAGUAAUCUAAAGCUUCUUUCAAAAAAAAGAAGUGUCACAGCAGGGCCGGUGGCGCCUGCGCCCCUGCCCACGGCACUGCGUUUCUCAGCUGGGGCGGGUGCUGUGCGGGAGGGGUGGGCACAGGGCUAAUAAAGGAGCGGCUGCAAGGACAGG